AGCCUUAUUCUACAUAAGAAUGGGCACUGUUGAUCAUGGUGUACAAAAAUUGUUAAUGUGGCUAAAUUAAGACACAGGUUAUGCUUCCAUCAUGGUAUAUAUAUUGCAGUGGUGACAGUCAGACCUGUAACAUUU
rnacentral:snoRNA from 1 species